rnacentral:rRNA from 1 species
GACGUAGGGCGCGAGCGUUUGUCCGGAAUCAUUGGGCGUAAAGCGCGCGUAGGUGGCUUCGUAAGUCCGUUGUGAAAGUCAAAGGCUCAACCUUUUGAAAAGCCGAUGGAUACUGCGGAGCUAGAGUACGGAAGAGGCGAGUGGAAUUCCUGGUGUAGCGGUGGAAUGCGCAGAUAUCAGGAAGAACACCCGUGGCGAAGGCGGUUCUCUGGGACGGUACUGACGCUGAGACGCGAAAGCGUGGGGAGCGAACAGG